rnacentral:rRNA from 1 species
GAUGAACGCUGGCGGCGUGCCUAAUACAUGCAAGUCGAGCGAACGGACGAGAAGCUUGCUUCUCUGAUGUUAGCGGCGGACGGGUGAGUAACACGUGGAUAACCUACCUAUAAGACUGGGAUAACUUCGGGAAACCGGAGCUAAUACCGGAUAAUAUUUUGAACCGCAUGGUUCAAAAGUGAAAGACGGUCUUGCUGUAACUUAUAGAUGGAUCCGCGCUGCAUUAGCUAGUUGGUAAGGUAACGGCUUACCAAGGCAACGAUGCACAGCCGACCUGAGAGGGUGAUCGGCCACACUGGAACUGAGACACGGUCCAGACUCCUACGGGAGGCAGCAGUAGGGAAUCUUCCGCAAUGGGCGAAAGCCUGACGGAGCAACGCCGCGUGAGUGAUGAAGGUCUUCGGAUCGUAAAACUCUGUUAUUAGGGAAGAACAUAUGUGUAAGUAACUGUGCACAUCUUGACGGUACCUAAUCAGAAAGCCACGGCUAACUACGUG